CCCUUCAGCUUUCUGAGCUUUCAUUUCCUCAGCUGUACAAGAGGAAUUAUAAAAAAUCUACAUUUGUUGUCUGAGAUUUAAAUGAGAUAAUACAAAGAGAGAGCCUCUUGAACACUUGAACUUUGUGUGGACUGUUCUCCUUAGCUAAUUUUUCAGUAGAGAUCUCAAACUUGCUCAGUGUCAUUUCUCUUGGGUUUGUCUUCCAAAUUCCCCCGUUUUUUCAGAACCAUCCUCAUCUUGCAGCAGGCUGGGCUCACAGACGGCCAGUCACAGGCCUGGCUCUACAGCCCCAGCAAGUUCUCACCCAUGAGAUGGGACAGACAACUAGUAAGGCCCAGAAUUUCUCACAUUCUUUCUUUAUUUCUCCUGUGAACAACCCACUUGUGUCCUUGCGCCAUUUUUUUAACAGAAUAUUUUUCAUAUUGAUUUUUGAGAAAUUUUUAUGUGAUCAGCUUAUCAGAGCUUUAUUUAUCUUAUAUGUUAUUCCCUUUCUCUCCCAAUUUCUCAUUUACCUUAUAAUUUUGGUGUUUUUUGACAUAAAAUUUUUAAUUCCAUGCUGCACGUAUCAAUUUGUGCCUUGGUGGUUUCUUCUUGGAUCUUUCUAAAGUCCUUCAUUAUUCUAAGAGCCAAUAAAUAGAUUUUUUUUACCAUAUAACAUUUAACUAAUUGGUAUUAAAUUUUGGCUUUCUGUAAGAUGCAAUAUGCUACUGUGUGUUUUGGGAAGUCAAAAAGCCAGGCACUUGCUUUCCAAUAUUGCGAACAAUUAGGUUAUGAGUAUAAGGCCGAAGCUUGGCCAGUUGGCCUCUCCCAUCCAGGAUCCUGGAACUAGUGAGGUCAAAAACAGGAGCAGCUUCAAAUUCACUUCAGUGGUUGUGCCUUUAUCUUGGGUCCUUGGGUGUCAGCUGUGGCAUUCAGUAUUUCAGGUCAGAGGCUAGAGGCCAACCAGGUUAGUUCUGAGACCAGGCCAUGGCUAGUGUAGACAGUGCCAUUGUACAGAUCAGAGAAAGGCAUCCCUCCAGGUGGACACAGGCCCUUGGAUGCACAGCCUGGCAAAUAGCUGGAGCUUUCACGUGAGACAUGAAACAUCUUUUCCUUUGGGUUGAUGCGGCACACACCAGGACACAUGGCUUGGUGAGCAGAAGGUGGACUGGAUUUCAGCCCCUAAUUAUCCCCUCAGCCAAAUGCAUUUAGGCAGUGAAUGAACUACUUAACCAUAAUGGGUGGCCUUAUUUCCCAGGAUGGUUUCAUGAGGUUCUCAUGAAUUGUGUGAUCUACCUAAAAUCCUUCCAAUAAAUUUCUUUUCAGCUUAAGCUACACAGAGUCAGUUUCCAUUAUGAGGAACCAAGAACAGGGUUUGGUACAACAGUGACCUAGCUAUAUGUAUGUAUGUUUUAUUUAUUUACUCAUAAAUGACAAGUUGUUAGCCGAUAGAUCUAGCAACAUUUAUUUUAAUAUAUCUAUUUAUCCUAUUAAUUUUAAAUGCCACCUUUAUAGUAUACUAUUUUUUUCCAGUUUUAUUGAGAAAUAAUUGACAUACAUCACUAAAUAAGUUUAAGGCAUACAGCAUGAUGGUUUGAUUUACAUAUAUUGUGAAAUGAUCACCACGAUAGGGUCAGCUAACAUCCAUCUUCUCUUAUAGAUACAAUAAAAAGAAAAGAAAGAAGAAAAGAAAAAUAAUUUCUCCUUGUGAUGAAAAGGAUUAGGAUUUACUCUCUUCACAACUUUCCUACAUAUCAUACAGCAGUGUUAGCUAUAGACAUCAUGCUGUGCAUUACAUCCCUAGCACUUAUUUAUCUGAUAA
ensembl:lncRNA